rnacentral:tRNA from 1 species
GCGGGCGUGGUGGAACUGGUAGACACGCUGGAUUUAGGUUCCAGUGGCUUUGCCGUGGGGGUUCAAAUCCCUCCGCCCGCACCA